rnacentral:rRNA from 1 species
GACGAACCGUGCGAACGUUGUUCGGAAUCACUGGGCUUAAAGGGCGCGUAGGCGGGUUGUCAAGUCCGGGGUGAAAGCCCCCAGCUCAACUGGGGAAGUGCCUUGGAUACUGGGAACCUCGAGGGAGGUAGGGGCGUGCGGAACUUCCGGUGGAGCGGUGAAAUGCGUAGAUAUCGGAAGGAACACCGGUGGCGAAAGCGGCGCGCUGGACCUCUUCUGACGCUGAGGCGCGAAAGCCAGGGGAGCAAAGCGGG